GGUUAAGCGACUAAGCGUACACGGUGGAUGCCCUGGCAGUCAGAGGCGAUGAAGGACGUGCUAAUCUGCGAUAAGCGUCGGUAAGGUGAUAUGAACCGUUAUAACCGGCGAUUUCCGAAUGGGGAAACCCAGUGUGAUUCGUCACACUAUCAUUAACUGAAUCCAUAGGUUAAUGAGGCGAACCGGGGGAACUGAAACAUCUAAGUACCCCGAGGAAAAGAAAUCAACCGAGAUUCCCCCAGUAGCGGCGAGCGAACGGGGAGGAGCCCAGAGCCUGAAUCAGUGUGUGUGUUAGUGGAAGCGUCUGGAAAGGCGCGCGAUACAGGGUGACAGCCCCGUACACAAAAAUGCACAUACUGUGAGCUCGAUGAGUAGGGCGGGACACGUGGUAUCCUGUCUGAAUAUGGGGGGACCAUCCUCCAAGGCUAAAUACUCCUGACUGACCGAUAGUGAACCAGUACCGUGAGGGAAAGGCGAAAAGAACCCCGGCGAGGGGAGUGAAAAAGAACCUGAAACCGUGUACGUACAAGCAGUGGGAGCCUCUUUAUGGGGUGACUGCGUACCUUUUGUAUAAUGGGUCAGCGACUUAUAUUCUGUAGCAAGGUUAACCGAAUAGGGGAGCCGAAGGGAAACCGAGUCUUAACUGGGCGUUAAGUUGCAGGGUAUAGACCCGAAACCCGGUGAUCUAGCCAUGGGCAGGUUGAAGGUUGGGUAACACUAACUGGAGGACCGAACCGACUAAUGUUGAAAAAUUAGCGGAUGACUUGUGGCUGGGGGUGAAAGGCCAAUCAAACCGGGAGAUAGCUGGUUCUCCCCGAAAGCUAUUUAGGUAGCGCCUCGUGAAUUCAUCUCCGGGGGUAGAGCACUGUUUCGGCAAGGGGGUCAUCCCGACUUACCAACCCGAUGCAAACUGCGAAUACCGGAGAAUGUUAUCACGGGAGACACACGGCGGGUGCUAACGUCCGUCGUGAAGAGGGAAACAACCCAGACCGCCAGCUAAGGUCCCAAAGUCAUGGU
rnacentral:rRNA from 1 species